UACGUAGGGUCCGAGCGUUGUCCGGAAUUACUGGGCGUAAAGAGCUCGUAGGUGGUUUGUCGCGUUGUUCGUGAAAACUCACAGCUCAACUGUGGGCGUGCGGGCGAUACGGGCAGACUUGAGUACUGCAGGGGAGACUGGAAUUCCUGGUGUAGCGGUGGAAUGCGCAGAUAAUCAGGAGGAACACCGGUGGCGAAGGCGGGUCUCUGGGCAGUAACUGACGCUGAGGAGCCGAAAGCGUGGGGAGCGAACAGG
rnacentral:rRNA from 1 species